UACGGGGGGGGUAAGCGUUGUUCGGAAUUACUGGGCGUAAAGGGCUCGUAGGCGGCCAACUAAGUCAUACGUGAAAUCCCUCAGCUUAACUGGGGAACUGCGUGUGAUACUGGAUGGCUUGGAUUUGGGAGAGGGAUGCGGAAUUCCUGGUGUAGCGGUGAAAUGCGCAGAUAUCAGGAGGAACACCGGUGGCGAAGGCGGGUCUCUGGGCCGAUAUUGACGCUGAGGAGCGAAAGCGUGGGGAGCGAACAGG
rnacentral:rRNA from 1 species